UAGGAUUCACUAUUUAAAUGUUCAGCACCACAAUCACAAAAAAAGACAAUUUAUUCUCUUACGUAGAUCAUAUUUUCUGCUGAUGAUCAACAAACGAAUGCUUCUCGGUUGCAGAUGGAUAAAACUGGAGAGCCCGCUCCUUCCCUCCAGCCCAUAGAUUGUGGAGCAGCUUGCGAAGCGAGGUGCAAGUUGUCGUCGAGGCCGAACCUGUGCAAGAGAGCGUGCGGGAGUUGCUGCGCCAAGUGCAACUGCGUGCCCCCCGGCACGGCUGGGAACCGAGAAGCCUGUCCUUGCUACGCGAAUCUCACCACCCGCGACCUCAUUCCCAAAUGCCCUUGAAAAAAAAAGAAAAUUCUAUUUGUUCUAUGAAUUCAUCAAAUUCUGAUGUUUCAUUUCUCUUGCUGCUUGCUAGCGAAAUUGUAUCGACUUCUCUGGUGGGGUUUCUUGUAAUGAUUUUUUAGUGUCAAUUUCAUCAAUAAAUUCAGCUAUGACAAAUGACCAAUAUCUCUUAGGGCGUAAAAAUGAAUUAUUUCAACAAUAUAAAUACAUCCAUGUGUCGAUGUAUUCGUAAUUCAACUACCAAAAAAGUCAUAAACCUAUUUUAAUUGUGUUAAUUCAAUCAUAAACUUUUCUUUAUAGCUAAUUUAGUCUUAAACAUUUUGUAUUUGUGUCAGUUUAGCCUAUCUGGCCAAUUUUGAUCAGCCGACACUGACAUGACAUUUUCAAAAUAAAAAGACCUAUACAUAAUCUCAUUUUAACAAUUUACUCAUGGUUUUGUCGCAUUACAUAAUAAGCAACACAACCUAUCGACAAUGGGUAUAAAACAUGAAUGUAUUAUCAGAUAAUGUUCCUUCCGUCCUCAUAUCACUUAGUUUAGACUUGAUCGCUUUCCUAGAAUUGUCCCUUCUUACCGAGUCUCACUUGGCCAUAGAUAACAAGCUAAAGUAGCUAACAUCAACUCCUCACAUUGUGACAUAGUCAAAAAGUCACGAAGGGCAGAAGUUUUAGUCAAAAUAGUUGACUCAUGGGACAUCAUGUCCAUAUUUGAUCGCUAAGUACAUGUAGUGUUAAAUACAUACUACGGUGGGAGUUCUCUUUUCCAAGAGAGCAUAUAGGUAUUAAACUACUAGUCAACGCCAUUCUUGGAAUAUGAGAAAAAGUAGUAAGUUUCGUUUAAAAAGAGACGAUGUGUUCUUCAAGAUGAAAGAUCUCAUUCAACUUCAACUUCAACUUCAACAUGGCCAUCUCGUGUUCCUAUUCCAUCAAAGUAGUAAUUUUCGAGUCAUCAUGACACUAGCUUGAAUCCUCGAGAGAACAAUGCUCUGCGUGGUGAUGAUGAAGGAGAAUGCACUUGCAGCAAUGCCAUUAGAAUUGACGCCCAACAUACCUGGCCGUCAGCUCCACACAGUUGAGACUCGAGGGUUCGGUUGCUUUACGUUCUGUCAUGAACAUGAUGGACUUAAGUCAAUGCGAUACGAUCCUUACCUACAUGGAGUAAGCCUUCAAUAUCCCUCAUCAGCAACCAAUGUUUCAACGCGUCAGAAGGAAUAUUGGAAGCCUCUAGUAUAAAGGAAUCCGCCAAUUUGCUUGAGGGUUCCAUUUUUCUUGGUAAGUAUGGUAUAAGCCUUCAAGGUGCCAACAUCGGCAUUCUGAUAUCUUCCGAUCUAUAUCUUCCAACCUAUCUAUUGGAAUAUCGGAAGCCUUUGAGGGACACUGAAGACUUCACCAUUUCACUUCACAGCUACAAAGCCCUAGAUGAUCAGUCUCUAUAUAUAGAGAUCUCCCUUUUAGCUGAUUACAAAAUCUUAUUGAAUCUCGAGUCCGCGAUCGCCAAAUCAGCUUUAUUCUCAUGCUCGGUUUUAUUCAGUGUUUUGCAUAUUUGCCCAUCUUGAAAAGUGAUAUUGCUUUCGAGUGGUUUUGUUUCGCUACGAGCAUAUUGCGUGGCACCACUAGAAGAAACACCAACAUGUUCUUUGACUUAUGAGCUUGACAUUCUCUUGAGGAUAAAGAGGGGCAAAUCUCGGAUGACUGAUUCUCCAUCUAAAGGGCUAAGCAAAUUUCUUGAUGUGAAUCAACCUUUCCAUGAGUACAAUACUAUUAAUUUCACAAAAGUCCACCCCCUCCUAUGAAUGUUUCGAUUCACUAGCCCGCGGGAAUCCAUAGCAUGAUAAAAGCCUUUUGCAAAAGUUCUUGUCUCACGUGUUUCAUGAGGAGUAAAGGGGCUCCAUCCAUAUAUGCGUAAGGCCGCACACUUGACUACUUAAACAAAUGCCAAAACGGGUAAUGGAUGCAGGAACUUGAUACUCUCUAUGGAAACAUCCACGUCAAGGUUCACGUAGUUAGUGAAUGCUUGUUGCGACUCAAGAUCCGUUAUGUUGUUUCCUCAAGUACAAUUAGAGUGGUAAAGUAGUAUUACAUGUACUUUCAUUGAUAAGAAGAGACUGAGAGACGUGUGAAAACAUUGAUAUCGCUUGCCUAGAAACCUUUUGGCAGGAAUAGAAAGAUCCCAUCACCAUCAUCUCCCUCACUCAACCACGAAGAAAGACAAUACACUAAGCCCAUAGUGCAAAACAUGUCAACCAAGACUUAAACCAGGAAGAUAAGUGACUUUCAAAACCGGUUUCUCCAUAUUUGUUUUUUCAUGUUGAUAGUAAGACAUUAGCUAAUCAUAUAAAUUCCCUUAGCUUCUGUAGAUAGUAUAUACUUACUAUUCGAUUUAAGCCCUCCGGCUAUCUCAUAUCACCUUCAAUCCCCGAACUAGGCCCGCAAUGAAUUCGUGACCUGCUGUGCAAAUCCCAAGACCAUAAAUUCCAUAGUUUCAUAGGAGAGGGUUGGGGUGUUGGGUUCAAAACCUUGCUAUGAUACCAAUUGUAGAAUAUUCACAAACACAUCUCUAAUACCACUUAUAGGGUAUGCGGAAGCCUUGUGGUAGUAAUAUAAUAAUAGACAACUCAAGAAACACUCGUUAUACCAAACUACAGUACAAGUAUAAUACUCAAAUAUAAUCUAACACGACUAUUACAAUCUAUUUUCUCUCACCAUGCUCAAAACACUCAAUGCAACACUUACUUAUAUGGAGACAUGUGCUCACUAUAAUUUUGUUUAUCUCUUACUCAUAGAGAAUAGGGAUGGUCAUUCCAAAGGGGAUAGGUUCCAAACUUGGAACCUAGAACCUACCUUGUUAGAAUCGGUUCCUAAUUUUUAGAACCUGGAACCUACCUCGUUUUUCUAAUCCGGUUCCAAGGUCUACCCAAGAACCUAUUUUUCUUUUGUUCUUUUUUUCUUAUUUCAUUUUUUACAGCAAAAUAAUAUUUGUAAUAAAAUGAGUCAAAGUAAAAUAUGAACAACAUAUAUCCCUAUCUGCCAAAAGCAACAAUCCAUAAGUUGAAAAUCGAAGCCACAUACAAUUAUAAACAAUAAAAAAUUCAAACACGUAACAUAAACCAUAAAUUAUAAAAUUUCAUCUCCCGUUUAUCCCUAAAAAUAUUGCUCUAAAUUCUAACUAUUUGAAAAGAAAGCAAAUAACAUAGUUAAAUAAAUUUAUAUUAAACCUCAACCUAGAGGUGAGAAACAAAGAAACUAGGGAUUUUACUUUUUAGAAUUUUAUAAAAUAAAUUCCAAAAUUGGUCUGGUCGAUCAAGUUCCUAGGUAGGUCUUCACUCGGAACCAGGAACCGAACCUUCUUAUCAAUUCCAAAAAUCUAGAUCGAGGAACUGGACCUAUUUUUUUAGGGUGGUUCAGUCCGAUUUCUUAGUGGAACCAGUAAGAUUGCAUACCCUUUAUAGAGAGCAAUUUUCUCUAUGGCUACUUGGGCUGCAUUGUCUCCUCUCUUGAAGAUCACCUCUGCAUCUGGUGACUUAUAUUUAUAUCCUUCACGCUGAGCCUUAUUGACAGGCGUUCUACCGCCUCUUGAAGUGCCACCGACUUCAACGCGAAAGCGAAGUUGCCGUCACUUUCCUUUCUCUCAAUCCAAAAUCACCAAGAUGACAAGUGGAACUUUGCUUUCCUUUUUCUAUCAUUUUCUUCUGAUUUUCUUUUGACCAACAGCUUGCACCUUGAAAGAUUCCGGCUGUCUUCAAAGUCAGAGCCUGGUAAAUGUCUGUAAGGACUUUUCUUUCUCUCUUAUUAGGUGUUUACUCCAAUCUGUAUUUACAGUUUAGGAAAGAUCGUGUCAUAUCCUCAGUGCAUUAAUCCAAUAUCAUAAAUGUCUGUGAAGUUUCCCAGGGCAAGUUGAGCUUCGUGUGCGCUGGAUCAAUCUGGCAUUGAGAACCUUCGCCCUGUGCUUCUCAGUUUGAAUAUUCUUUUCUUUACGGUCGACUAGUGCAUGCAAACUCAGAUACAACGUUGCUUGUCUGCGAAAGCGCCUCCACCAGCCACUCCCAUCAUCACCAUCCUGGCUUUCCUUCACUAUAAAACUGCCUCAGAGCUCACACUCUUUCUUGCAACUCAUCACUGCAGACAGCUCGCUCGCUCUCUCCCUCUCCCAGCUACUUUGGCAAAACCCUUGUCGAAAUACUAUUCCUUUCGAACCGUUUCGAUACAAUUACCUGCCGUUUAUUUGAUUUCAUUAGCUUCUUCUCGUCAAUCCUCGCCAUGGCCUUCAGGAAGUCUUGCAUCGCCUCGCUGAUUCUGCUCUCGCUUUUGCUCCUCCAUGUUGUAGAAGCUCAGGAGAUGGUAAUUAUUUCUUACUAUAUACUUGAAGACAUAGGAUUCACUAUUUAAAUGUUCAGCACCACAAUCACAAAAAAAAAAAACAAUUUAUUCUCUUUACGUAGAUCAUAUUUUCUGCUGAUGAUCAACAAACGAAUGCUUUCUCGGUUGCAGAUGGAUAAAACUGGAGAGCCCGCUCCUUCCCUCCAGCCCAUAGAUUGUGGAGCAGCUUGCGAAGCGAGGUGCAAGUUGUCGUCGAGGCCGAACCUGUGCAAGAGAGCGUGCGGGAGUUGCUGCGCCAAGUGCAACUGCGUGCCCCCCGGCACGGCUGGGAACCGAGAAGCCUGUCCUUGCUACGCGAAUC
rnacentral:lncRNA from 1 species